AAUUAACGCUGGCGGCAUGCCUAACACAUGCAAGUCGCACGAGAAAGCCCGGUUCGCCGGGCGAGUAAAGUGGCGCACGGGUGAGUAACGCGUGGAUAAUCUACCUCUAUCUGGGGGAUAACCCAUCGAAAGGUGGGCUAAUACCGCAUAAUCCGGCUGAUUUUUGGAUUGGCCGGCAAAGGUGGCCUCUUGAUCAAAGCUACCGGGUUGAGAUGAGUCCGCGUCCCAUUAGCUUGUUGGUAGGGUAACGGCCUACCAAGGCGACGAUGGGUAGCUGGUCUGAGAGGACGAUCAGCCACACUGGAACUGGUACACGGUCCAGACUCCUACGGGAGGCUG
rnacentral:rRNA from 1 species